CACCCAAUUAAGUGUGCUUGGGUGAGAGUAGUACUAGGAUGGGUGACCUCCUGGGAAGUCCUCGUGUUGCACCCC
rfam:Arabis alpina cultivar Pajares scaff_48287_1_contig_0, whole genome shotgun sequence.